UACAGAGGUCUCAAGCGUUGUUCGGAUUCAUUGGGCGUAAAGCGCGUGUAGGCGGCCAGAUAGGUCUGCUGUGAAAACUCGAGGCUCAACCUCGAGCUGUCGGCGGAAACCAUCUGGCUAGAGUCCGGAAGAGGAGAGUGGAAUUCCUGGUGUAGCGGUGAAAUGCGCAGAUAUCAGGAAGAACACCUAUGGCGAAGGCAGCUCUCUGGGACGGUACUGACGCUGAGACGCGAAAGCGUGGGGAGCGAACAGG
rnacentral:rRNA from 1 species